CAUCUUCAACGGUUGGAAAGAUUUUUUGGUCAGGGAUGAGCUCGCGGCCUAUCAGCUUGUUGGUGAGGUAAUGGCUCACCAAGGCGUCGACGGGUAGCCGGCCUGAGAGGGUGACCGGCCACACUGGGACUGAGACACGGCCCAGACUCCUACGGGAGGCAGCAGUGGGGAAUAUUGCACAAUGGGCGAAAGCCUGAUGCAGCAACGCCGCGUGAGGGAUGACGGCCUUCGGGUUGUAAACCUCUUUUAGCAGGGAAGAAGCGUGAGUGACGGUACAUGCAGAAAAAGCGCCGGCUAACUACGUGCCAGCAGCCGCGGUAAUACGUAGGGCGCAAGCGUUAUCCGGAAUUAUUGAGCGUAAAGAGCUCGUAGGCGGUUUGUCGCGUCUGCUGUGAAAUCCCGAGGCUCAACCUCGGGUCUGCAGUGGGUACGGGCAGACUAGAGUGCGGUAGGGGAGAUUGGAAUUCCUGGUGUAGCGGUGGAAUGCGCAGAUAUCAGGAGGAACACCGAUGGCGAAGGCAGAUCUCUGGGCCGUAACUGACGCUGAGGAGCGAAAGGGUGGGGAGCAAACAGGCUUAGAUACCCUGGUAGUCCACCCCGUAAACGUUGGGAACUAGUUGUGGGGUCCAUUCCACGGAUUCCGUGACGCAGCUAACGCAUUAAGUUCCCCGCCUGGGGAGUACGGCCGCAAGGCUAAAACUCAAAGGAAUUGACGGGGACCCGCACAAGCGGCGGAGCAUGCGGAUUAAUUCGAUGCAACGCGAAGAACCUUACCAAGGCUUGACAUAUACGAGAACGCUGCAGAAAUGUAGAACUCUUUGGACACUCGUAAACAGGUGGUGCAUGGUUGUCGUCAGCUCGUGUCGUGAGAUGUUGGGUUAAGUCCCGCAACGAGCGCAACCCUCGUUCUAUGUUGCCAGCACGUAAUGGUGGGAACUCAUGGGAUACUGCCGGGGUCAACUCGGAGGAAGGUGGGGAUGACGUCAAAUCAUCAUGCCCCUUAUGUCUUGGGCUUCACGCAUGCUACAAUGGCCGGUACAAAGGGCUGCAAUACCGUAAGGUGGAGCGAAUCCCAAAAAGCCGGUCCCAGUUCGGAUUGAGGU
rnacentral:rRNA from 1 species